UACGAGGGGUGCAAGCGUUGCUCGGAAUUUAUUGGGCGUAAAGGGUAGGUAGGUGGUCUCAUUUGUCUGGGGUGAAAGCCCCAGGGGCUUAACCCUGGAAGUGCCCCCAGAAACGGUGAGACUGGAGUCCUGGAGAGGGUCGUGGAAUUCCCGGUGUAGCGGUGAAAUGCGUAGAUAUCAGGAGGAACACCGGUGGCGAAGGCGGGCAUUCU
rnacentral:rRNA from 1 species